UACAGAGGUCUCAAGCGUUGUUCGGAUUCAUUGGGCGUAAAGGGUGCGUAGGUGGCGAGGUUAGUCAGGUGUGAAAUCUCGGGGCUCAACCCCGAAACUGCACUUGAUACUGCCUUGCUAGAGUACUGGAGAGGAGAUUGGAAUUUACGGUGUAGCAGUGAAAUGCGUAGAUAUCGUAAGGAAGACCAGUGGCGAAGGCGAGUUCCUGGACAGUUACUGACGCUGAGGCACGAAGGCCAGGGGAGCAAACGGG
rnacentral:rRNA from 1 species